AUUGAACGCUGGCGGAAUGCUUUACACAUGCAAGUCGAACGGCAGCACGGACUUCGGUCUGGUGGCGAGUGGCGAACGGGUGAGUAAUGUAUCGGAACGUGCCCAGUCGUGGGGGAUAACGUAGUGAAAAUUACGCUAAUACCGCAUACGACCUAUGGGUGAAAGCGGGGGAUCGCAAGACCUCGCGCGAUUGGAGCGGCCGAUAUCAGAUGAGGUAGUUGGUGGGGUAAAGGCCCACCAAGCCAACGAUCGGUAGCUGGUCUGAGAGGACGACCAGCCACACUGGAACUGAGACACGGUCCAGACGCCUACGGGAGGCAGCAGUGGGGAAUUUUGGACAAUGGGCGAAAGCCUGAUCCAGCCAUUCCGCGUGCAGGAUGAAGGCCCUCGGGUCGUAAACUGCUUUUGUACAGAACGAAAAGGUUUCUACUAAUACUAGGAGCUCAUGACGGUACUGUAAGAAUAAGCACCGGCUAACUACGUGCCAGCCGCCGCCGUAA
rnacentral:rRNA from 1 species